AGAGCCUCAGCAGCUGAAGCCUAUCAUCAGAAACCAGCCUCACCGCCCCUUCUCCGACCCUCCAUGGCCCAUUACUUGGGAGAGACAGGCGGUGACUUCUGCUUUGGAUUGAACAAAAGGCAGUGGGAAGCACAGGCCCCAGUGAGGGGGAAGGGGGCUAAAAGCCCAAAGAGAAGCUCCACGUCUGCCCCCAACACCUGGCCCUUCCUACAAAGACGAAGGGAAUGAACACACUUCCUGCAUCCUUGCCCUCACCUGGUCAUGAGCGAAGAUGCUGCCUUGCGAGUUCAUGUGAUCACAACCCACAGGUGAUUUACUGUAACUCCUGAUACUAAAACCCUCUGAGUGAGACAUGUGGAAUGAAUGAUGCUCUGUAGUGGAUUUGUUAAUGAAUGUCCUCUCUGCUCCCCAAAAAUAAGGGACUGGCAAAAAAAAAAAAAAAAGGGGUCUUAGACCAGGGAAAGACCAUAAUACUCUGCAAAUCAGAGUCCUUGAUGAUUCUGAAGAGAAAAUAGGCAGAAAUUGCUUUUCCAAAAAACAACAACAAAAAACUGUUCUCGGAGGGACUGUCAUUAAUUUCAGGGUAGAAAAUGGGUUGACAUCUUUCCAGUAUCCUUAAAAUAGAAGAAAUAAGCAGUCACCUUAAGGGGAGAAAAGAAAAAAAGGGAGGUUAUGAUCCAGGGUUUAAAUAAUCUUGGCUGGCUUCUGAUUUGCAUACAUACGAUAAAGUAUGCCACUGUUCCAGAGGUUGAUUGCUGGGAAAGUGGACUCAUGAAGAAUGAAAAUCUAUUGGGCAACAGGUGAGGGAGUAGUGGGACGUCCAGCCAACUCCUCCAGACAUGGUGCAGGUCUGCAAGCUCUGACCUACUGCAUCAGGUGUCCUGCUCCAGGCCCAUGACCAGGGCUGGCUUCCUGAAUGUAUGACCUCUGCAGAGGCACAGGGCUCUCCUUUUAGGAGGGCCCCACACUCUUGGUGUAAUGCUCUGCUGUUGCUGUCUGUCGAAAAUCUUAAUUGUUUUUUAAAGAUCUUAUUUAUUUGAGAGAUGUGCAAGAGAGCAUUAGGUUGGGAGAAUGGGUGGGGGUAGAGGGAGAGGGAAAAGCAGAGUCCCUGCUGAGCAGGGAGCCUGACAUGGGACCUUGAUCCCUCAGGAUCACGACCUGAGCCAAAGACAGACACUUAGUAGACUGAGCCACCCAGGUGCCCCACGAAAAUCUUAAUUUUUGAAGA
rnacentral:lncRNA from 1 species